CCCUUUUGAUACGGGAACGACGCACCUUUUAAACUGAUUAUUAGAUUGAAGUAUUGGUUAGAGUCGUUAUUUUUUUUCUGAGAACGCUUCUCAAUCGAAGUCCCAAGGAAAAGCUUUGGUUCCUCAUCAUGCUCUGCUCUAACCGGCCAACUCGACGGCUACAAUUGAUUUCUAAUAUAUUUCGCCGCGAAUCUAAACCGCCACCACCGUCUUCAUUGAUGAUGAGACUGACGUUAUAAAGUUGAUGAGAGAGAAGAGCAAGAAGUAGAAGAAGAAAGUUGUUGCGGUGACAACGCUGCCAUGGAUGGAAUUGAAAAGCUCAAUUUCGAGAAAAUAAGAUACGGAGGAUAGAUCAUGUCAUCUGAUGUUGAGGCUCAACUACGACGCCAAUUUGGAAGCUUCGUCUGUUAAAUCUUGUGCUGUUUCUUGGGUCGGAAGCAACCGGGGCAGACGUCAAGUGCAUGUCUUUCUCUAAUCACAUUUCUCUUUAGCCAUUGAAAAUCUGUUUUUUGUUUUCUAAAUUAGUUUUAUAUUAAUUUCCCGUAAUUGAUACUACAUUAGAAAUUCUGUUAUAAGUACUAGGUGUAGAGAUAUGUUUGAUUUAACAAAAGUUUCCGAACGUAUAGAUGAGAUGUUUUUAGAUGUCAGUGAAUAUAUUAUAUUGCAUAGAUGGUAGAUGUAUACACAAGAGAAGGCGGUUAACUGGUUCAAAUUAAUUAUCCAUUCCUUAUUUACAUAUCAUUCUUUUUAAUCUCUUGCAUGUUCUCAACUUCGGUUACAUGUUAUUUGUCUGAUUAGGCUGGUUCCAUAUCGAUGGCAAGAGAAUCAAGAUAUCUAAUGAAUAUUUAUACGCUGCAGUCUAAGUAGGCUUGUGAAUGUGAAUGUGAUUGUAUUGCAGAUCCAGCAUCACCCCUGGGACACUACUGAUCAUCCUUGCUGGUAGGUUCAAGGGCAAGAGAGUUAAUUUUUUUUAACCAACUACCCUCUGUUUUUCUUUUUGUGACCGAUCAAUGAUUGCCACGUCCUGAAAGUUUCUGAUGUUAGCCUCGAUAAAUAUGAUGAUCAGUAUUUUGGAAAGGUAGGCGAGAAGAAGAACAAGAAGGGAGAAGGAGAGUCUCUGAUGGAGCCGUGGAUCUAUAUAUUUGAAUUACAAACACCUAAAGGCGAAAUACAAAAAGUGUACUAUUUAUACUACUCAAGUUUAUUGUUUUCUGCUAGGCUUCAAUCUCAAGCUCUCCCUUGUACUUCUUCACUUCUUUCCUCUUCCUCUGCGUGUUGCCUUCCUCUCGUGUCCUUACUUAUACACUCCAAUGUAUCAGAGUCUUCGAGGCAGAGAGAGAGAAAGUGUCUACACAUAGGGAAAAAGACGACCAGAUGGCUGUGGACGGAGCUUUGAUCAAAGCCAUCGAGGUAGUUUCAGAGUUGAAUACUUGCCUUUGCACAGUUUUCAUUGCACAAGGAAUGGAGCCACAUAAGCUUGUUUUCUAGAUUUUAAAACCUUUUAUGAGCAUCUUAGGUAUAUGUGCCCUCAUGCGUUACUCUUUUUUUGUUCUUGUCCACAUACCAGAGAUAUUUUGACUUGGUACAUUCUAUAUAUCACAUUUGGUAUAAGCAAUCCAUCUUAUUUAAUUUGAACUUUGAAGCAAUAUUUUUUAAUAGAUAAUAAUAUUGUUAUGUUGAAAACUCAGUGAAUCUUCAAGUAAACUGGGAUGAGAGCACACAUAAAUGAAAUAGUUUUUUCCACAAAUAUUUUGUUGUAAUUAGAUAAGAUUGAUACUGAUGUGGACACAUCGACAAAGACGUCAGACAAAUUGGGCUAACUACCCGAACUUUACCAUUAUGUUUUUUUUAUGCGUAGCUCGGAAUUUCAGAUAAGCUUAUAACCUGAGAGAAAUAUAGUUACUAAUAGAUUCGGAACGGCGUGCGUGAGUGAGUUCUACUUUCUCUUACGCCAAUUUACCUUUGUACUUUUACCAUUCGAAUGAUAAAGCUGACUUACACGAUGGGAAAAACAUUUGUGUCACAUGUAAGUUGUGUUCUGAGUUCACCUUUGAUUUGAGUUUGCAAUUGGAAUAUAUUCAAAUAUUCUCUGCAUCACAACCCAUUAGCCAUCAACAGACAACCGCGAACAAAAAUGAGAACAAAAGAUUUGAAGUAAUCUCUAUUUUAUAUAACGAUUAACGAUGUCUCAUUUGCUUCUGAAAUGACAUUCUUUUGGAGUCAAUGUGUCAUUUGCAUCUUUUAAUAAAUCUGUAUAUGAAAGUUUCAAAUUUUGUUAUCGCUUCAUAAUUCUAUUGAUAUCAUCAAGAGAUAAAUCUCUUUUCAAAUGGUUAGGGAUGCGUAGGAGGAGAUGGAGUGAAUCUUUGUGGCCAGCGAGUAAUCUGUUUACACGCUUCUUUUUUAUUUGUUCUCAACAAGUAUAUUACUAGAAUAAUAUUUGUUGCGCAUCGUGAGUUUAUUCGUAUAUAUUAUCGACAAUUUUUUUAAUAUAUUUGAUCAUUUUAUUUAUAUAUAUAUA